rnacentral:rRNA from 1 species
CCUACGGGUGGCUGCAGUGGGGAAUAUUGCACAAUGGGCGCAAGCCUGAUGCAGCCAUGCCGCGUGUGUGAAGAAGGCCUUCGGGUUGUAAAGCACUUUCAGCGGGGAGGAAGGCGGUUAGGUUAAUAACCUCAUCGAUUGACGUUACCCGCAGAAGAAGCACCGGCUAACUCCGUGCCAGCAGCCGCGGUAAUACGGAGGGUGCAAGCGUUAAUCGGAAUUACUGGGCGUAAAGCGCACGCAGGCGGUCUGUCAAGUCGGAUGUGAAAUCCCCGGGCUCAACCUGGGAACUGCAUUCGAAACUGGCAGGCUAGAGUCUUGUAGAGGGGGGUAGAAUUCCAGGUGUAGCGGUGAAAUGCGUAGAGAUCUGGAGGAAUACCGGUGGCGAAGGCGGCCCCCUGGACAAAGACUGACGCUCAGGUGCGAAAGCGUGGGGAGCAAACAGGAUUAGAUACCCCAGUAGUC